CGGACGGGUGAGUAACGCGUGGGUAACCUGCCUUGUACUGGGGGACGAACAGUUGGAAACGACUGCUAAUACCGCAUAAGCGCACAGCUUCGCAUGAAGCGGUGUGAAAAACUCCGGUGGUACAAGAUGGACCCGCGUCUGAUUAGCUGGUUGGUGAGGUAACGGCCCACCAAGGCAACGAUCAGUAGCCGGCCUGAGAGGGUGAACGGCCACAUUGGGACUGAGACACGGCCCAG
rnacentral:rRNA from 1 species